GAGUCUCUUAUUCUUAUAGAUGUCUGGGGCAUCCUGAGUGAGGUUUCAUACCAUUCAUGUCUCAAGGCAGAAAGGCAUUAAAUAAAAGUAAAUUUAAAAUUCAAUUUUAUUUUGGAGUUGGGCAAGGGGGAGUGGUGGCUCUGGGUUACCGGAAGCCACAGGAGAGGAAGACCAUAAGGCCGCAGCAUCUUUAUCAACUCCUUGCCCAGAGAGAGAGAAUGAAGGAGAGGUAUCCUGAUUUCUGGGAGGCGGGGCAACUAGAAGGUCUACAACCUAACGCUUUCCACAGAAGUUGAACAUAGCUUCACUAUUGACAACAAAGUAGAAAACAGUGACCAAUUAAUUCUUCAGAGCUAUCCAGACUUGCUACCCCUGAGAAUAGACCAACCCUCACUUCAUAGACAGCUAAAGAAACCGAGUCAUGGAGUCAAAGCAUCUACCCAAGGUCACAUAGCACAUGUGAUGGCAGAACUCGGUGUAGAGACCAACCAACCAUGUAGGGCCCGACUGUUUAACAUGGGGGCAGGCUUGAGAAAAUGCUAUUUGCAUUCUAGCUCUGACUCUAGGAGACUCCUAGGAGUUUCCAGGUGACUGGCUUGAGGGCUCAAGGCUGGGCCUCUGCCUUAAGCUGCCACCUGCAGAGGUUGAUGGGAGGAGAGGGGUUGGUAUGGGAGGAGCUGAACUUUGUGGGCAGACCUGGCACCAAGCGAAAGGAACAGAGAGUCAGAAAGCCUGAGCCUCACCCCCAUCCCCCCAGGGAGGAUAAAGGCUCCACCUGGAUUUGCAGACCUGGCUCUGUAACUUUCACCUGAUAAUCACACAGGAACUAAUUAGCACCUUCCCUUUGAGCACAGCCCUCUGGGGCCCCAGGAUGCUCAGGGGAGACAAGAAGCCCAUUAAUUAUCUUAUCAGGAAGCACUGAUAAGAACCUGUAGAAGGUAUUGCUCUGAGCUAAUUAAAGAGGGCAGAGAAAGAAAAGAAUGUGUCACCCUCCCACAGCACCUGACACAGGCUUCAAUCCGACCCCUGAAGGUUUGAAUCCCCAGGCUGAGAGCAAAAGACCCCAGGCCAUCCAAGGAAACUUCACCUUUUGUGGUUCAUGACACCAACAUGAGAGGUUCAGGAGUGAGCCUGCUGGGUGUGAUGCUGGAGCCUCCAGAUCGAAGGCUGAGGUUGUGAGAGUCUUGUCGAGCUGUCUCCUAUGACCCUAUAGCAGAGCGCCGCUAGGGUUCCUGUCUCCUCUCGUUGGUGUUAGUAGAAGUCUUAUGAGGUUAGGGAAGAAAACAAGGACGUGACCCACCGAGUCAAGAACAUUUGAGUAUGAAGAGCUUGGAGCUGGACUCGAACCUAGACCUCUAGCUCCCCACUCUUCUGUAGAAUUGUUUUGUGCAUCUCAGAAUGCUGGCUGGAGCCACACCUGGCUUACAGUCCUCAGAUCAUUCCCUUCUUACCUCUUGGAGCCAAUCCCUUUCUUUUCUUGAGCCUAGGUCUCUUUGUCCUUGAUGAAGGACUAGCCAUGUCUACUCGAAGGGCACUUUUGAGAUAAGAUAAUCUGAGCAGGUCAUCUAGGACAGAGAUUCGCAAUUGUACCUUUGUCUUUAAUGGCCCAUUUUACAAACUUAUUUUUAGGUAUGGAAUUUCGAUUCAAUUGUAACAGAAAACCAUCUGUGCCAUUUUGCAAGCCACCAAAAGGGGGGCCAUUUUGAGGGGACAGUGGUGGGUAGCUUGACCUCUACUCACUCAACCCUGCUGGACAAGCAGCAAAGACUCUGCUGACUACCCAGAAUUCCUCAGGGCACAUUUGGACAACCUGUGGCUGAGGAAAGCAGGCUGCUCUGGGGUUUCAAGAGACUGUGGAUAAAUAUCCCACGUGAGACAAAGAUGCCAUUUUAUCCCACAGAAGACACUGAGGACCUGCUAUCCAGGGCCUGUGCAUUUGAGCGUUCACUCUCUCAGGAGAGUGAAUGGGUGUCCUCAGACCCUUCUUACCUUGUUCCCAGCCUGUUGCUUCGCCUCGUGCACCUGUAGCAGGGAGGAAAUAAUCUGAAUGCCUUGGUGUCUGACCUAUGACCUUGUCACUCAUCAUGGUACUAGCUAGCCUGGGGUCCGUUGGGUUAGAGCAACAUUUUGUGUAGGCACACGUGUCAGUACCUCCUAGGAAUGUCAAAUAUAUCACAGUAGCCAAGGCAUUGUUCUGCUGCUGAAUAUGUACAGAACAUCCUGAAGAGAGUGGGAUGUCUUCCCUGGAGCCAUAACCAAGUCAAGAGCUGGGGAUACUGAACGUUGUGUCCUGGGAUGCAAGAGGCUCAGAGAAACAACAUCCAUUCCUCAGAGAUAGCCAUGGCAGCGUCAAAGAGCAGAGCAUUCCACCAGCACAAAGCAAAUGCUUUACUAAAGGAGACCCAGAGCACUAGCUGUAUCAGCCCUAUGAGAGCUUGGGAGUAUUAGUAACAAUUAGAGGAGCCCUGUGGCUAUACACUCUCCCACCUCUGCCCUUGGCUUUGCUGAUGUGUUUGUAACUCAAAGUUGACUAAAUUGGCAGCAUAUCUACUGUGUGUCUCAGAGUCGCUAGGUGUGUGCUAGAAUCCCUCAUCAAACCCUCAACACUGCCCAGCAGUACAGAGACACUCCCACCAAAUCAUGAUUGUGACUUUGAGGGAAAGAGUCUGGGGCUCUGGCCUUGACCUGAAACUAUUAAGACGUCAAGAUUCAAGGCAAAGCCUUCGAAAUCAAGUCUGAAGGCAGGAGAGCACUCCUGCCUUCUCCAUGAUUGUCUUCCAGAGAAAUCUGAUCUAUGUCCAGCCAUUCUCCGCAUCACCCAGGAUACUCCCGAAUCAAAGAUAGAAUGGUAUAGAGGGACUUGAAGGGAGAAUAGGCAAACUGCACUCUAGCUGGUUCUGAUUUUAACCAGAUAGGUUCCUUUAUUUUCUGGUCUACAAAGCAGAGGGAGUGGUUGUCAAAAACCACAUCCUGCCCUGCCUCCCCGCUGGUGACUGCCCAUGAGUCUCUGAAAGGCUGUGGGUCUCCAUCUAAUGUGUUUGUGUAUUCAUGAGUCCCUUCUGCCUGUGUGUGGCUUGGUGUCCAUGGAGGGACACCUGCUUUCCCAGCUUCCCAAAGAGCACUGGGUAGGACAGGACUCUGGAAUGCACAUCGCCCCCUGGUGACCGGAGGAGGAAACUGCAAGCCCGCCACAUGGAAAAGCGAAAAGAAGGGCACAGAAACUGCCACAUCAGGACAAUGACGGCUCCUCUGGACAUGAACUGUCAGGCAGAUCAAGGAAAAUUACAGGAAAUGCGCGGAGAGCGGUGGAGAGAAAGCAAGCAUCAGACAAAACUCAGCUUGCUCACAACUUCUAUAGAGAAAAUUCCCACAAGGCAGAAAAUGACCCAGGAAUAGGCAUCCAAGAGGUGGCACACAGACAUAACAGACAUAUUCCCACAGCCAAAGAGGCCAGUCAGGACCGUUACUAGGUAUGUAACAUCUGUAUAUACUAGGAACAUUAAAAAUAUACUGUAUGCACCAUCAUAGCACUCCUCAGGCACUGAGAAGGCCACAGACAUGAUUGUUAACCUCUGGUCUGAGGCAGGGGCCAGAGGUCGGUGGGCUUGGCUAAAUCCCUCCCAUCUCCUCUGCUUUCCCCUGCCAGGCUCCACAUAGGCCUGUCCCAAACUCCCAUCCCUCUAAGCCUGAGUGAUCAGAGGAAGGGAGGAAAACAAUGGCUAGCCAGAGGCCCUCAGACUGCUGCUGAAUGGGGAUUUUGGUCGGAUGUUGAGUUACCUGGAAUGCCCCGGUGUUAUUUUGGGAAGGCAGACAUCCUAUGGAAACAAUGAUGUGGGAAAGAAAACAGCUAAAGCAAACGCUAGUGCUGACUUUUGCCAAAAAGAGUCCCAUGUGACUAGGGUAGGCCCUGGAAGCCCAGGUCACACAGAUACAGGGCUCUAAGCUGAGGGUAUCAGGUCACGAGCAGGAAGCACACAGAAUGUAAGUGGAAAGGAAGGGUCUUAAUGAAGUGCCUGACAAGUCACGACAAGACAUCUUGCCGUUUGGGUGAGCAGAAAAAAAUACAAGAAACACAGCCUGGCCUGAGUUGGAGGAUGGGCUUCCCCGUCUGCUAGGUGAUCUCAGGCAAGACACAUAACCUUUAAGAUAGAGUUUCUAAGACAGAAGGCAGAGGUGAACACGGAGGCUGGCAGAAUGGUUUCCUAAAGAAGGCAGAUUAAAUGCCGUAAACACAGCCUACUCUUUGCUAAUAAAAUCUGAUAGAGUCCUAUAUAAGUAUACCGUGUAGCCCAGGCUGGCCUUUUACUUGGCCUCUUGCCCUCUGCUCCCUAAGGUCUGGGACACAGGCACGCACCAGCAUCCUCAGAACAUUGCCUUUAGAGCUCAUGUUUCUCAGAGGAACGUGAAAACUGUAUGUCCCUGCAUGCAGCUUCUCUGGGAGACAAGAAGUGACUUCAUAUGUCCUCUGUUUACUGUGGGCUGGAGCAUCUUUGGGGAGGGUUUGUUGGGGAAUGUCUUAGUCUGUACCUUGUUAAUGUAGACAGGAACAGUUGCCAUCUAAACAUGGAGUUUAGACAUGGAAGUGUUUAUUUUAGGUGGGGCAGGGGGUGGGGGCUACUAGCCAAAGGAAAAGGGGAAAGUGAGUUUUAAAGGUAAUUUGGAGUAGAGCGAGGUGGGGGGUUCCCAAACACAAGGAAAACUCAUCACCGUCACACGGUUCUGAUGGGACUAUAUAUAAAGUGGCUGCAGCCACUUCAGAAGACAUUUGACAGCUCCUUAAAAUUCUGAACAUGAAAUGCAAGACUGGAAAUCACCACAGGAGCAAUCCCGCUUUUACAUGUCUGUCUGAGAGAAGGGAGCAAGUGCCAUCACACACAGCAGGGAAGGGCCUGCUGCUGGGACCGAGUGGGGGAGGCUAUACAUCAGAAAUCUUUUGGGGUGCUUCCCAGACAAUGCUCCUAGACAGACUCAGAGAACUGUGAAUGUAGCAGCUCCGAGGGUGGAGGGAGAAAGCCAUGACCAAAAGGGAGCCUUUGGGUCAGGUGACCUAUGCUCCAAUUUCCGGACUAGCUGCUAGCCACUGUAUAUCCUCUGACAUCGAAUGGAGGGGGCUCGCCUCUUGGAGCAUCGGUCCCCACAUCUGUAAAUUGGAAGCUAGCAGCCAGCAAUGUACUUGCUUCACACAGUAAUAAGGUGUGACUAAGGAUAUGUGUGUAAACGCAGGACCUGACAAGAAUGGCUGUCCCACGGCUAUAAAAAAAAAUUACAAUAAAAAAUAGUCAUCAUGAUGUUGUUGCAAAAAACAAACAAAAAACAAUAAAACAAAAAAAAUCCCUUGAUUACCUUAACUAGUGAGGCACUCUCAGAAACAAAAUUUAAAAUGAAGUUAAAAUUUAAAGCCUUGCAGGGUGUGAGAAGGUGUGGUGAGUUCUCUCCUUCCAGUCUGAGAGCUGACAUUCCAGGCGAGGGAUAGAUAGAAAGGACUUGGAGAUGCACGCCGUCCUCCAGUCCUCCAACAGGCCUGGCUCCCGCCCAGCGGGGCGAGCGAUCCCUUCCCAGUCUUCCGAAGGCAACAGGGCUGAAAGAUAAUUACAAGUCAGCGAGCAGUGGUGACCGAGGAGAAGGUGCUGAGCCCCUCCAAGUGUGGAGGAGAGGGAGAGUCCUGGGUUAUUAAUUAAGGAUGCCCGUUCACAAAGUGUAGAGGACAGUAGUCAAGUCCCAGCUGUCAUCUUUGAAUGGUGUUUGAAUAUCUGGUUGAGUUGCUGGCAGUGGUGUCAAAGAAGCUCUCCACAGUCAUUUUUGGGGGGAAGGGGGGGGGGAAGAGUCAGGAGGAAUGACUGACAAAGACCUUACACUUCACCUAAUUGUCUCUGCAUCCCCUUGGAGAUGCCAGAAUGUCUUGGCUUAAAUGGUCUGUUGCGGGGGCUUGUAACCUGGGUCAUAGCUCGCACCUCUAAUCCAUCACUGGGAAAAUAAAGGGGCAAAGAAAUAAGGCAUGUGACACAAGGUGGUGGAGAGUCAUAGGACCAGAUGCCAACACGCUCCACCACACAUCACUCUCUGAGACCAGAUGAUGGAUGAUAUCCGUCUAGCCUGGAGGUAAAGAAUGAGUGUGUUUCCAUUCCCAGGACAAGGGAGCCAACUAAGGCAAAGGCCACAGCAGGCGGGGAUGCUGACUUGGUGAUCCGCACCAGCGUCAGAAGGCUGGCGGAAUGGUGUCAGGAUAGAUGAUGAUGAAGCUCUCAGUCAGGUCUGCUUCCUCCUUGCCUUUCUUACCAGUUCCUUGCCGUAAGAAUUGGUAUGCUGUAGGCCAGCCGCAUGACACCUUGUUCCAAGCAUUCGAUGAGCCUGUCUCCCUCUCCAGGACUCCACCCACAAGGUGAACAGAGGCUACCAUGCUCACACAAUGGCGGCACUGUCUGUAGAGACACAUUAGUCCAGAUGUGCAACUUGAUCUGUGGCUGGGACGAUGGCUCUCCCUGGCUGUCUCAAUAGCAGGCACAAAGGCAGCCUAAGGCAGUUCCCUUCUGCCCAUCAAGGUUGGGAGCACAGAAGACUGAUAGAGAGUAGAGAUAACAUCAUCCCAAAACUACCCCCAGCCGCCCAGCCGACAACCUAUCUGUCUCAGGGCAGAUUCCAUAGUCUUCUGAGUUUGAUGCAAAGACUAUGUCUACCUACCACAGGGAGUAGCCAAGAGGCUCAAAUGAGAUGAAGGAUACCAGGGACCAAACCAAGAGGUUAUCAACAAGUAGUGACUUUUUUCCUGUCUUCCCUCUUUAGUUCCUAAGACCAGGCAAGAUUUGUGCAGACCGAGUGUUGAGUCCCUAGUACAUUGUCUAAAUAUAAUUGCAAUUAAGUAGGGCAUUUAAUUGAGCCCAAAUAUAGGUCUUUGCUGGCUUGCAAAGGACUUUUUUUUAACCAUGUGAAUGUAUUUAUAUAAAAGUCCUAAUAAGAUUUGGAUGGGAAAAAAAAACUUACUGAGGAAACUAGAGAUAGAGAGCAUCAGCCACCCUCACGGUAGCAGCACGAAACGCAUGGACUCAUCAUGCUCAGGACAUACCAGCUCUCAUGACUCCCCUGUCAAGGAGGCCCCACUUCAGGGCGGGUUAAGAGCAGUGGCUGACAGAACUACGCUAUUUCUAGUGGGCUGUGAGUAUCCUUUGUCAGGGAGCUUAAGAGUAGUUGUGAACUCUCAACUCCUCUGAUGGCCUUAAAACGAGAGAAACUACUAGAACACGUGAGAGCGCUCAUGUAAAGUGCACUAAUACAGACAUUAAUAGAGGCGAGGAAAGGGAUCUGGGGACGGCAGUAAAGGUGGGGGCAGGCAUGGUGGUGCCAGUCCACAGACGGAAGAAAGCCACAACAGUGGAUUUGUACUGGCAGGGACCAGAAUAUAGUAAGUAGGGUCUUAUCAUAGGCUAGGUCUGAAAUAUGUGUUCUGUUUGCAUAGUCUUAUUUAAUCCUCAAACAACCCUAUGGAGCAGGCAUGGCUGAUAUCUAAAUUUGGGAAAGGAGAUAUGUAAGGCCCAGACAGAAGAUUAAUCCAAGGUCAUGCUGGAAAACGGUGGAAUGAGAGCUCCACCUAAGGUCUCUGUGAUGACAGAAUCCCUGGGUUCCCGAGUCCACCGUGCUUCCGAUAUUGAAGCCUUGGGAGUCGGCCAUUUGUGAUUCCACCCAAAAUGCAUACAUCAGUCUACCAGGCAUUAUUUGAGAGCUAAGCCUUGGAAGGGUCAACUCUGGGGUCGCAAAUAACAAUGGGCCACAGCCUAACUCUUGGGAGAAAAACAAGAUAAUGGUGAGUUGGGGAGCUUUCCUGAGCCAUCUGGAAGGGGACACGGACAGUGUAUGCUUCUUGCCUGCCUGGGCUCUCUGAGGACUCCUUGAGAUCUCAGAGACAACUUGUCUAGCAUCUGUCUAGAGUCGGUCAAUAGGAUAGAGAAACCCACCCUCUGCCAGCCAGAUCUUCGUUUACACGGGGAAGGCAGCAGAGUCUCGGAAGUUCAAGUCCCUCUAACCAGCCUUCAAGAACCUGUUUACUUGGAGGCCCCCGUUUGUCUUUGUAGACCCUCUACUGGCUGCUCUGUUGCCUAAAUUACGUUCCCAUUGCUGCGAAGAGACAGCAUGAUCACAACAACUCUUAUGAAGAAACAUUUAGUUGGGACUGGCUUACAGUUCAGAGGUUCAGUCCAUUACCCUCACAGCAGGAAGCCUGGUGGCACGCAGGCAGACAUGGUGCUGGAGAGGUAGUUAAGAUGAGCAGACAGCAGGAAAAGGGAGUGACGCUGGGCCUGGCUUGAGCAUUUGAAACCUCAAAGCGGGCCCCCAGUGACACACUUUUCCAACAAGGCCCCAGUGACUGCAAGGCCACACCUCCAAUAAUGCCACUCGGUACAGCCAUUUUUAUGCAGACAUCACAGGUAUCGAGGACAUGGUUCUCAGACCAGAGUAGGUGCACAUGCUGCUCUGAGCCACAGCCGUUAGGGAGAAUUCUCUAUACCAGGGCUUCUUAAUCCUGUUCUGCUGUGGCUUUUGGCCACGAAACUUUGUACAUAAACUCUGGUUAGGCAGCUAUAUAAACUGAGUAUAUGUUCAGUUGGGUGAAUACUUGCCUUCGAGCAUGAACCCUGUGUUCAAUGCUGGAAAGCACAUAAACCAGCCGUGUAGAAACAGGCCAGCAAUGCCAGCACAGCAAGUAGAGGCAGCAGGAUCAGAAGGUCUAGGUCAUCUGCCAUAGGAGACGUUCUACAUUUGUCUGAGUCUCAAAACUAAAAUAGGUAUACUAAUCAAAUACCGA
rnacentral:sRNA from 1 species